rnacentral:lncRNA from 13 species
AUGAUUUAUUAUUUGUAUAUAUAUGCAUCUAAAUCAUGUUCCUUAAACAUUAAGGACUUGUACCAUAAAAAUCUCCCCAUAAAGGGGGGGGUCCUAUGUUCAGGGCAUAAAAUUAGACGUAAAAUCAAAGAAGAGAACGAGGACGGCAGAAAGAAAAAGGUAAUCUCUUCUGUUUCUCUUCUCCUUCACAACUUGUCCUUGGCAGGCACCCAGAUGAAGGGUCCUGACUGCUCCUCGAUGAUCCUCUUCACUGUGUUAUAAAUCUCCUCCAGAGAGUCCCCCUGGACGAUAGCUGCAACGACACACAUGUAAAACAUACUAAAUAUAUUUAUAUAGUAUAGCUGGGACAGGCUUUUACUGUAUUUUGCCAAUUAGUUAAUUCAGGGAACUGAGACAACUACUUAAUGCUGAAGAGGUUGAGACUGUAGUGAUGGGGAGGGGGGGCUGGACUCACCAGUGAAGUGCUCGGUGAACUCCUGCUCCAGCUUCAUGGCUCGGUCGAACGUCUUCCUCCCCUGGUCCUCUGUUAGCCUCUUAUUCAUCUCCCUAGAGAGAGAGAGAGAGAGAUA